rnacentral:lncRNA from 1 species
AAAGUUACAAUCUCAAUAUGAUACAGACCCAAAGGAGUAAACAUAACCAAACCAUAGUGCUCAUAAAUAAUAUUAAAAAAAAAAAAGAGAAACACAUCAAAGCAUAUAUAUAUAUUUAAGAGCACACUUCUCUGCUUGCAAACACAAGAUAAUAUAGAAAGUUUUCACACCACAGAUACUGGCAGAGAGAACGGAAGAAGCUAAAGAUCAACACACGCUUGAACCAGACACGGACAUGAAGAAGGAAACAUAGUUUCUGAGUUUCAGAUCUUGUCAAGCUUAUCUGCCUUCACAACCGGGUUCGCUUUGGCUAUAGCUUCUUGCGCAGCAACAUGGUAAUCGAAAGAGCAGUUAUGAACGUCUGCAUAGCGGUGCGUACCACAGAAGAGGUCACCACAUCGACAUUUGAAUCCAGUCAAACCAACCCGUUUGUUGCAAGUAGUACAUCGGCUGGGCCCUUCCUUUGGUUUUGCUGCAGCUUCUUCUGGUGCUACUACCUCUGCAACAGCUUGUACAGAGACAGCCACAGGCUCGAUGGAUUUGGUUCCAGCAUCAACCAAAUCAGCAGUGAAGGUUUCCUUUAGGAUGUUGCUGGGUGAUCCAGACACUGCAGAUGCAAGCUUGGCCCCCUGUUCCUGUUGAAACAAGAUAGUCUUGUGGCACUUGGAACACAUGUUCAUUGUGGCAGCGCUUCCGAAGAAACCGCAGU